rnacentral:rRNA from 1 species
CCUACGGGUGGCAGCAGUGGGGAAUAUUGGUCAAUGGACGAGAGUCUGAACCAGCCAAGUAGCGUGAAGGAUGACUGCCCUAUGGGUUGUAAACUUCUUUUAAGGGGGAAGAGCAGAAGACGGUACCCCUUGAAUAAGCCACGGCUAACUACGUGCCAGCAGCCGCGGUAAUACGUAGGUGGCAAGCGUUGUCCGGAUUUACUGGGUGUAAAGGGCGUGCAGCCGGAGAGACAAGUCAGAUGUGAAAUCCGCAGGCUCAACCUGCGAACUGCAUUUGAAACUGUUUCCCUUGAGUAUCGGAGAGGUCAUCGGAAUUCCUAGUGUAGCGGUGAAAUGCGUAGAUAUUAGGAAGAACACCAGUGGCGAAGGCGGAUGACUGGACGACAACUGACGGUGAGGCGCGAAAGCGUGGGGAGCAAACAGGAUUAGAUACCCCUGUAGUC